GAUCCGUGAACUAUUAAUAUGUUGUGUCAUAUUGAAUUAGAUGGGACACAUAAACAUUGCUAUGUCUAAUGACAUGACCGUCAUUAAUUAACAAAUUAAAAAGUAUUUUUAUAUAUUUUUUUGUUCUCUUUCCGAAUCACCAUUCAUUAUUUUCCUUUCUUCUAUUCCGCUUGUCUCCUACGCAGAUGCUCGAAACAGAUCUGCAAAUAGAAAUUGGCCAAUACACCGUUUGGCUUUUGCGGCGACGUCGAUAUGUUUGAAGGCUGUAAUAAGGGAAGCCGAUGACUGAAAUUUCAAUGGGCACUGCCGAAAAAAGUGAAUGUGGCUUUAGCUCGAAUUAGUGUUGGGACUAAAGUGGGUCUUGUUCUUCUCCAUCAGAAUCGAAGAGAUCUGGAGGCAGGCGUUUCGAUUUUGCUUUUUUGUUGCAUUUUGAGAUGUUGGUUUUUGUUGACAAGUUUGGGAGGAGGAAGAUGAAGGGGGUUGUAUUAUUUUUCAAUUUCAGAUUCGGCGUAAGUUAUUUUCAUAUCUGAUUCUGUUGCAAUUGAAGGAGAACAUAUUGAACACCGAGAUACUAUUGUGGGAGCACACUGCAGCAAAAAAAAAAGUUAUAUAUAAUUUUUAAUUUAUUAAUCAUGGGAGCCAUUUCAACACGCACAUCAUCAAGGUCGCUCAUUUAAUCCAACAUCAUAAUUAGUCGGCUGAUGUAUCAAACUAACGGACAAAUCAACAAUUAAUGGACCCGCUAAUAACAAUGAUGUAAACAAAAAGUUUUCAUACAUCAGGAAACAAAAACAAA
rnacentral:lncRNA from 1 species